UUUCUCCACCUAAAGUACAUUAAAAAAAAAUUCUUUUCUUCUAGCUUAUCGAAACCAACAUGAAUUUCCAUCUACAGAACAUUGUUUCACACGGGAGAAAAUUGACAGAGGCCAAUCAUCCUCGACGUAUCCGUAUAAUCUCCAUCAAUACCUCUUAGAGGAAUGACAAGUCAUUGUUACAUUGAUCGAGGAUGAUCCAGCUAAUAAAUUGAUGAUUGGUCACAAAUGAAGUAAUCCACUAAUCAUGCUACCACGGCAAGCUAGUAUAUAUAUAUAUAAGCUCCGUUACUGAUUAGCAGAGGAAAUGUUCAGUGGCAG